AAUCCUCUUUCCCAUUUACACUUUCACACAGCCACAUGUUGCUCUUGCCCGAUCCUCUUUCUCUCCGCUCACUCCCAGAUUGCUGCCACUGGAUAGCUCCCAUCAGCUUGCUGCAUUGAUUCGGUGCCCUGAGCUUGCUCGCCUCACUUGCAGCCAGCCCCGCCGCUCGAUUCGUUGGGGCGGCCAUAGGGUGACCUCCGACGGCGGCUGGUUUGUCUCGUAAACGGCGAUGGAGGGGGUAGCAGGGCCAAGGUGGAGCUGCGCAAGGGAGGAGGCGAGAUCGUCGAUCUGCAAGGUGAUGUUACUCUCGGCGUCGGUGCAGGUGAUGUGGGCGUGGAUUUUGUCUCCCGCAGCGAGCUUUGAUCCAUCUUUAGUAUGAUGAUGCUGGAGACGUUUUCUGACGCUAGAGCGCCAGCCAGACGCAUCCUCCACAUCUCCAACAUUCUUCGAAGUUCGACCAGCAGGUCCCCAUUUUUUCUUUUCCUCACUGAGUCAUAUAUUUAUUUAUUUUGUAACCAUUUCCUUUGUUUUUUGCGAUUGAACCAUCAUAAUGUACUUAAGGAAAUGCCUGUUAAGUGAACAUGUUUCUUCAUUUUUCCUUCAAAUCUUGCAAAAAACAUGUGAUUCCUUUUUUAAGAGCUCUAUAAGUGUUGAAUGACGUAGAUAGUAAUUAGCGAAAUUAGAAAGAAUGUAAGUAUAUGUGUGCGCACAUAUGAUAACUGAAUCAGCGGACUUGAGAGCUCGUCGAAUUCGGCGGCACUUUUGCGGUCAGCAUGUAGGCGAUGUGCUAGCUUCUAUCCUAUGCAAGUGUGAGGUUCAUGGGGGCAUUGUUGUCCCCAAGUUCUGACCCGGAUGCGUCAUUGCUGUCCCAAAGUGAUGUAGUCCAAAAAUUUGCCUUCAUCAUUGACAGAGGCAGCCCGGCUAGGUCAUCGAAUAUUUUCACCUGCAAGUCCUCCUUCCUCUUAUCCGAUUGAACUAAUAUAAUCAAAUAAGGUAGUGCUUUUUAGCGAUUAACGUUUCAGUUUAUGGUUUUUAUAUCAUUAUGUAUACUGGCUGCUCUUGAUUUUCUUUUGGCUGACUUAUCGUAAAGGUACUAAAUGAUGAUAGUAACUUAUGAAUGCCAAAUACAUCUUACAGCGUAGUGUUAAUUCGAUUAUUCCCCAUCCACCUUUUCUAGGCUUGGGACUGACAUUGGCAGUGUUAGCCCCUCUACCCAUAUUAAUAUUUAACAAACUUAAGAAAUAAUUAGUAUAUUUAUGGUUAGCUAUAGUUUCAAUACUUUCCAAAGACAAAUUAAGAUUUAAUCAGUAAAUAUGAAGAGGUUUGAUUCCAUUGUACAUAUAAAAUAUAACAAUGUGUCGAUGAAGUCACAUGAUAUAGAUUAUCCAUGUUUGGUAUUAAUGAUUUAUUUCCACCAAAUGUUGAUGCAUGUUUGCAAUACUUCGGUACGGUAGUAGACCAUAUAUGUCCUGCCAUAUCAUGUUAGCGUAGCUAAGUCUGUUUUUAUUUUCAGUAUUGUUUGCAGUGCAAGGUAAAUCGGUGGCUCUCUGAAUGGUGGCAAAACAACGUUUCCCUGUUGUCAGCAUAGUCCUAAAGAUGGCAUGCUUUUCGCUCUAUUGAAAGUUCUUUCUUCAAAAAUUCCACCCCGUCAUUCACACUUGUAUCUUGGUUUUUCGAAGCCCCAAGUUCCCAUACCAUUCCUUUCCAAUGCCUUGUCCAAGUUUCUGAAUUUGCCAUCAAUUUUAAUAUUAGUAAUGUCUCGUAUUGUUGAUACUGAAAAGACGAAAAAGUAUUUGGGGUUUGCUUCUUUCAUGUUUACUUUUUGUUACUUUUAGUAAUGUACACUUUUUGUUACUUUUAGUCAUGUACAUGUACAUAACAUAAAUGAGGUUCAUGAAUGUCCAGAUUUUAGAUGUUGAUUGUAUUUUAUUGUUGCUUACCUCAUAGUCUCACCAGUCUAGCUGAUUAGUGCUUCUUUUUUGUCGAUUGUUCUGCAACCCUCAUGCUUUGUAUUUCUCUUUUCUAUGUAGUCUUGCCUCUUUAGUUUUGUCUGUUGAGUUAAUUGCCCUCCAUAAACAUAAAUACCAAUUAGUAGAAGUAAGAUAUGGAAUUUCAUUCAUAAGCAAUUUAUUACUCGUGGUGGUGGUCAAUGUACAUGAUGAACAUUUUUACAGGACAUAGUUCCUUGUGGUAAUGGAACAUUUUUUCCCUCAGUAUUGGUUUAGACAGAGUGCAUGGGUAUGUUUUAUCAUGAUUUUCUUGAAAGCAUACUUCAUAGCUAUAGGUAGAACCAAAUGUAACAUGUUUUUUGUGAUUUAAUAGAGCAAUUUAAAUUAGCUGCACUUGAAGAUGUGGAAAUGCAUGGGCGACCGGACUUUAUAACCACUUGUUCAUGGUAAAAUGUGUGCGAUAUAAUUUUAGUACAUCAAAUCCAUUGAGUUAAUGAAGGAAUAUUUUUAUGGUCAAAAAAAUUGGAGGACAAAGAUAGAAGAAUUGAUGUGCAAAGCAUAAGCAAGGUACAUAAUUUGCUUCAUGUAUACUAUACUACCAGUUGUGCAUCAUUAGUGGUAAAAUUUAGAACCAAAUGGAUGAUGAUACACAUAAGGGUAAAACUUUGUGAAGAUUUUCUUACUUCACGUGGAUCAAAGGUUGUUCUUUUGGUGUAGCUGUGUAGUGUGGGACAUCCCUAUGCAUGAUUGAAAGCCGUCUAUUUUUCUUGUCUCGCAGUUUCAUUCUCCUCCUCUUGUGCCUCAUUAGAAUUGUUGCCUUUUUAGUUGUAACAUUCUUGAGAUACCACAUAUAAAAGUUUCACGAUUAGUGAUGGAUCACCUUGUUGGAUUGCAUAUUGGAUUUGUUUUAACCACCUUGGCAGGUUUUCUCAAAUUCCUUGCUAUAUGGCCCACCUUUUCUAUUUUCAUUGAUUAUUCCUACACAAUAGAGAAUGCAAAUAUAAAGUUAAACAGGAUUACAUCAUAAUAUUAUUAUAGAUUGUCGCAAACCUAGAAUUUAUGCUUUUUUAGGGCGACGGACGACUAUGAAGCUCAAUGGCGAUGUGCCCACUGGUCUUUGGACAGGGGAGUACCUUGCUCCGCUGCUUGAGACCUGGGCAAGCUGGCCCUGCUUGUCCCAAUGAAAUCUUUAAUGAUAAAGAUGAUCUUAAGCACCAAUCAUCACGUGAAGGCACAAAUAUUGAGUAUUUCUUAGUAGCAGCUGGACAAAGCCAUCUCUACCUGAUUAAUGAGUGCCAUUUGCUUCUUAAUGGACUUAAGACCUAUGGAAGCUAUUCCACAACCCCAAAUUAUAGUUGAGGAGCCCGCUAUAAUUCUGUGAGAUGGUAGUUACUGGAGGCGGUUUGAUCUCUCGACGGAGUUGACUACAACCGAGGAUAACCAACAGGAGAUUUAGGGGUUGGUGACUGAUGCAGGAAGACGAUGCUGAAGUGCCACUUGUUGGAGGAAGUUGACGUCGAAGUGUUAUUUGCCGGAGGAAGAUGAUGUACCAGCGGUACUCUAAAAUCUAGAGGACAAUGACGUUUUGGGGUGGUCGAAGCAUUGCCUGGUGAAGAUAUUUCAGGGAUAGCUGAGUUGAUCACGUUUGCACGAUGGAAGGAGAGGCUAUUUGGAUGCUGAGAGACUUUAUCUAUGUAUAAGCGAACAUCAGAUUUUGGUUCUAUUUGGAGAGAUAGUAUCUCUAUACACUAUUGAGAGAGUUUGGUUAUGUUCUGAGAGACUUUAUCUAUGUAUAAGCGAACGUCAGGUUUUGGUUCUAUUUGGAGAGAUAGUAUCUCUAUACACUAUUGAGAGAGUUUGGUUAUGUCUUGAGAAAUUGUAUCUUUGUACAGGAUUGUGAGAGGCCAAGAGUUAUUUGCAAAAAAAGAAGAAGCGUGAGAGUUUGGUCAUUGUACCAUGUA